GGGACAGCUGCGGGGGCUUCUCUUCUAUUCAAUUCCCUCGGCCUCUCCUUCCCAUGGCACUAAAACCCAAGUGUGCCCUUCAGCAAAUGAAUCUUAUGAGGAUGAUAUUACAAACAGUUCCCAAAAUAUAUUACAAAAUCUUCUUCUCACAAGUUACAGUAAAAGCACAUGAAGAUCUGUGCUCAUCAGCCCUUUCCAGUAAGAAGGCAUUUCCAGACCCUCUGGCCUCAUUCCUUGGGCUCUUUCCAGUGUCUUGUAGAGAAUAAAUUCCGAGCACAGAGCUGUCUCAAGGUAUCCAGAGAAGAGUUUCCUCACAUGAAGGUGAUUCUCUUUGCGUUUCCUUCUGAUACAUCUUCAGUUGUGCUGGUGAAAUCUAACAAGAUGAAUAAGAUACUUCUCCUUGGAGUUUCUGCUCUGCUCUGCUGGAGGACUGUCCAAGGUAUAAUAAAGUGCAGGCAAUGCCUGAUUUAUGAGAAGGGUCGCUGUCAACUCAAGGAAUCGACAUGUCGAGUAUCUCCCUCUGGAAAUGUCUGCAUGACCCUUGUAACCUCUAUAGAAAAGAAGUCAAUGAAGUUUUUAUGUAUGAACUCAGGGAUGUGUAGAAAAUUUGAAGAAACCUCAAGAACAAAACCUGAUGUGUAUGUUGCAUGCUGUAAGACAGAUCUCUGUAAUGGGAUACCACCUUGGGCCUCUGACCUUUCAACAUCUACCACACUAAACUACACAAAUCUCUUAGAGUGAUCUUGAG